rnacentral:tRNA from 1 species
GAGCGCCUGCUUUGCACGCAGGAGGUCUGCGGUUCGAUCCCGCAUAGCUCCACCA